AACGUAGGACGCAAGCGUUAUCCGGAGUUACUGGGCGUAAAGGGCAGGCAGGCGGGCUGAUAAGUCGGAUGUGAAAUCUCCCUGGCUUAACCGGGAGGGUGCAUUUGAGACUGUCAGCCUGGAGGGCAGCAGAGGAACGUGGAAUUCCGGGUGGAGUGGUGAAAUGCGUAGAGAUCCGGAGGAACACCAGAGGCGAAAGCGGCGCUCUGGGCUGCACCUGACGCUGAACUGCGAAAGCCAGGGGAGCGAACGGG
rnacentral:rRNA from 1 species